GUGCUCACUUUGGCAGUAUAUAUACUAAAAUUAGAAUGAUAGAGAGAAGAUUAGCAUGGCACCUGCACAAGGAUGACAUGCAAAUUUGCGAAGUGUUCCAUAUUUUU
ensembl:snRNA U6 U6 spliceosomal RNA